CGAACGAGAAAUCUUCUGCUCGCAGAAGAUAGUAAAGUGGCGUACGGGUGAGUAACGCGUGGGUAAUCUGCCUUCGAAUCGGGGAUAACAUUGCGAAAGCGAUGCUAAUACCGGAUAACAUCCCUGAGACUGCGGUCUCAAGGAUCAAAGAUGGCCUUCUAUAUAUAAGCUUUUGUUUGAAGAUGAGCCCGCGUACCAUUAGCUUGUUGGUAGGGUAAUGGCCUACCAAGGCUGCGAUGGUUAGCUGGUCUGAGAGGAUGAUCAGCCACACUGGAACUGACACACGGUCCAGACUCCUACGGGAGGCAGCAGUGAGGAAUUUUGCCCAAUGGGGGAAACCCUGAGGCAGCAACGCCGCGUGAGUGAUGAAGGCUUUCGGGUCGUAAAGCUCUGUCAAGUGGGAAGAACCUGCAGAACAAUAACACGCUUCUGCACUGACGGUACCACUGAAGGAAGUACCGGCUAACUCCGUG
rnacentral:rRNA from 1 species